ACGGUUUCUGCGACGCAGCUAACGCAUUAAGUGCCCCGCCUGGGGAGUACGAUCGCAAGAUUAAAACUCAAAGGAAUUGACGGGGCCCCGCACAAGCAGCGGAGCAUGCGGCUUAAUUCGACGCAACGCGAAGAACCUUACCAAGGCUUGACAUAUACAGGAAUAUGGCAGAAAUUCCAUAGCCGCAAGGUCUGUAUACAGGUGGUGCAUGGUUGUCGUCAGCUCGUGUCGUGAGAUGUUGGGUUAAGUCCCGCAACGAGCGCAACCCUCGUUCUGUGUUGCCAGCAUUUAGUUGGGGACUCACAGGAGACUGCCGGGGUUAACUCGGAGGAAGGUGGGGAUGACGUCAAAUCGUCAUGCCCCUUAUGUCUUGGGCUGCACGCAUGCUACAAUGGCUGGUACAAACGGCUGCGAUACCGCAAGGUGGAGCGAAUCCGAUAAAGCCAGUCUCAGUUCGGAUUGGGGUCUGCAACUCGACCCCAUGAAGUCGGAGUUGCUAGUAAUCGUAGAUCAGCAACGCUACGGUGAAUACGUUCCCGGGGCUUGUACACACCGCCCGUCACGUCACGAAAGUCGGUAACACCCGAAGUCAGUGGCCCAACCGUAAGGGGGGAGCUGCCGAAG
rnacentral:rRNA from 1 species